rnacentral:rRNA from 1 species
GACGAACGCUGGCGGCGUGCUUAAUACAUGCAAGUCGAACGGACAGGCCCUGCUUUUGUGGGGUGCUCGAGUGGCGAACGGGUGAGUAAAACGUGAGUAACCUGCACUUGACUUUGGGAUAACUUCCGGAAACUGGGGCUAAUACCGGAUAGGAGCUCCUGCUGCAUGGUGGGGGUUGGAAAGUUUCGGCGGUUGGGGAUGGUCUCGCGGCUUAUCAGCUUGUUGGUGGGGUAGUGGCUUACCAAGGCUUUGACGGGUAGCCGGCCUGAGAGGGUGACCGGCCACAUUGGGACUGAGAUACGGCCCAGACUCCUACGGGAGGCAGCAGUGGGGAAUAUUGCACAAUGGGCGGAAGCCUGAUGCAGCAACGCCGCGUGCGGGAUGACGGCCUUCGGGUUGUAAACCGCUUUCGCCUGUGACGAAGCGUGAGUGACGGUAAUGGGUAAAGAAGCACCGGCUAACUACGUG